AUAAAAAAAAUUAAAAAAAAAAAACCUAGACAAUUACCUUUGAGUUGCAUAAGUUUAGUUUUUUUUUUUAAUAAAUAUUAUGUUUUGAAAAUUAAUUAUAAUGUCUUUUUAUUGUCAUUUGCAAAGUAAUUAAGUUAUUGCAUACAGAGCUUGGAGUAAGUUAAAGAGAAAAAACAAUAUUCAUCAAAAACUCAAAAGGCUGUCUAAUUAUUGGGUCACUAAAUGGGAAAUUGAAGAGAGAUUUGAUGAUUAUGAAGGUUUACUCAAAAUUUUAUUGGGACUUGAAAAUAAUAAAUAAAUAAAUAAAGAAGCUUAUACCAAUUCCAUUG
rnacentral:misc_RNA from 1 species